rnacentral:rRNA from 1 species
GACGAACGCUGGCGGCGUGCUUAACACAUGCAAGUCGAACGGAAAGGCCCUGCUUUUGUGGGGUGCUCGAGUGGCGAACGGGUGAGUAACACGUGGGUAACCUGCCCUUGACUUUGGGAUAACUUCAGGAAACUGGGGCUAAUACCGGAUAGGAGCUCCUGCUGCAUGGUGGGGGUUGGAAAGUUUCGGCGGUUGGGGAUGGACUCGCGGCUUAUCAGCUUGUUGGUGGGGUAGUGGCUUACCAAGGCUUUGACGGGUAGCCGGCCUGAGAGGGUUACCGGCCACAUUGGGACUGAGAUACGGCCCAGACUCCUACGGGAGGCAGCAGUGGGGAAUAUUGCACAAUGGGCGGAAGCCUGAUGCAGCAACGCCGCGUGCGGGAUGACGGCCUUCGGGUUGUAAACCGCUUUCGCCUGUGACGAAGCGUGAGUGACGGUAAUGGGUAAAGAAGCACCGGCUAACUACGUG